UAAUAAAUAGCCUCUUAAUUGGAGGCCAGUGAAUGGCAAGACUAGGGACAUCUGUACCCUGUAUAAAAAAACAACUUUUCAUCUGGGUGAAAAGACCCAAAUAAUAAAGGAAGACGAAAAGACCCCGCGGAACUUUACCUUUUCCAGUACCCACAUGCUCAGAAACAUAAGAACAAAAGGUUUGAUUGGGGCAAUCUCGGAACCACCCAAACCUCCGACUUAUAACAUAAAAGUAUAUAAAACUCAAUGUGGACCAAAAAGAAGUUACCCCGGGGAUAACAGCGUAAUCCAACUUGAGAGUACACAUAGAAAGUUGGG
rnacentral:rRNA from 1 species